UAAUUAUUACCCAGAAAAAAAAAAAAUCACACCUGCCUUUGUGCCUCACUUGGAAUGAGCUUUCUUCCCUCUGACUUCCAGAGGAAUCCAACUUCCAUUGGGUUCAGCCAAUGGAAGCACUAGGAGACCAGAGGGUGACAGGUUCAAGCAAACCUCCCACCUUGGCCUCCUGAAGUGCUGGGAUUACAGACGUGAGUCACUACACCUGGUUGAUAACCUUCCUUUUGAUGAGCUUCUUCGCAUUUCACCUUCCAUGUGGUAGUAUAGACAUAGACUUCAAAUUAAAUAAUGUAGCAUAGAAACCUGGCUUUUAACAUAGGUACUAAGGUGGGGUACACUUUUUAAAUUCCCUAAUAGUCAAAUCUUUCAUCUGUAAACUUCAUAUGUUUUGUAAAGUUCUUUUGAAAAUUAAACAAGAUCUUCUCACAAAGGGCUUAGAACAGUAUGUGGCACCUGGACACCUAAUGGAAUAAGCAUAUGCAGAUACCUUGGCAUCAAAAGCCAGCGGAAAAAAGGACUCAAGCCCCUUUCCUAGAAGCCCAGUGUUUUGCGUGUGAGGC
rnacentral:lncRNA from 1 species